CACGUAUCCUGUUGUGAAUACAUAGCAACAGGAGGCAAACCGGGGGAACUGAAACAUCUAAGUACCCCGAGGAAAAGAAAUCAACCGAGAUUCCCUAAGUAGCGGCGAGCGAACGGGGACUAGCCCUUAAGCUAGACAACUGGUAGGAGAAGGCUCUGGAAAGUGCCGCCAUAGUGGGUGAUAGCCCCGUAUCCGAAACCUGAGUCUGGUGAAAUCGAGUAGGACGGGACACGUGAUAUCCUGUCUGAACAUGGGGGGACCAUCCUCCAAGGCU
rnacentral:rRNA from 16 species